UUGAUGUCAUACCCCCAGUGGAGCACAUCCAUACAUCAAGGGGAGGAUACCGCAGCCUACAGGAUGUCAUCUUCCUGCAGCCUCCUCCCUGCUUCCCUGGGGAGGCGAAGUGCCAUGCAAGUGAAGAAGACUUUAGAAAAGGGACAUGCUGCUGACUGCUGCUGAGCCCUCCCAAGUGCUUGGAUGCACCAUGGCUGACCUGAUGAGAAGGCUCUGGAGAAGAGAAGGCUCUGGGCAGACCUCAUUAUAGCCUUCCAAGACUCGAAGGGAGCAUAUAAACAGGAGGAGAAAGAGUACCAGAACAUUGUAAGAAACCUGCGCUGAAGUCUUGUUGUAUUAUCUCUCCAUACUGCUGUGAUUGAGAUGGGUUUUUUGAUGAGGAGGUAGCUCCAGGGAUUCGUUGAAGAUGUCUUCUACUUUCCACAGCUGGGCACUGGGAAGGAGCCAGCUGUGUGGCUAACCAGUUCUCCACGGAGUGACAGAACCCAACCACAGCUUGGGCACUUCAGGUGGAGAUGCCCACUGCUUCCCUGAAAGGAGCAUCAGAUGGAGAAGUAAAGAAAGGACUCCUCACAGCUGCUGGGCACUAUCAGCACUAACCAGCAGGAUGAUCUGGGUUUCUGCUGCCCUCUGCCAGACAGCAGCGUUUUGAUCGCAAGUCUGUGCCCUGUGGUUAUGGCAGGACUUCAAAUAACUACUUGGUGUUUGAAAUUCAGGCACAGCCCACUUAUUUGGAUAUUUCAAGCUGCAAGUUUCAGCUGAACCCCUAAGCAGCAAUUGGGUUUAAACAAUGAGGAGAGCUUUCCCCAGGUAUGUAAAAGCUAGGAGAACUGAUGCAGUAUUCACAGGUAGUUUGCUCUGUGUUGAAUGAAAUCCAGAGAUCCUCUGCUGUAGGGCUUACACACUGCAAUUUACAUCUGCAAAUAUAUAUGUACUCAGUAAAUACUUUGAAUGCUUAUGCUCCACAUAAACAAAAUGUCCUGUCUAAAGUCAUGGUAAGUAUGGAGAAUUCUUCAUUACCACUGUACAAUUUCAGUUUUAACUUCCAACUUACUACUACAGAGAACUUAGUCUCUUAAGGAAAACUUAUGAUCUUAAGACCAAAGACCAAAUCCAUUUUUAAAAUUUGUGACUUGAGCAACAACUGUACUGAAGAUAAGCAGUGUUUCAUUAAAAAAGCAAAUACCUCCGUGAACACAGAAUACGUAAAUAUUUCAGCUUGUUUGUCUUAUGCUGUGGGUGAUACCCAGUCUUGAAAAAUGUAGGGGCAGAGAGGAGAAUUGUGAGCUAUAAAUGAUGAUAUAAAACAGCAAAACAAUAAUCUAACACAAGAGCAGUCAGUGUCUGGGGUUUUGCUGAGCAAAUGUGUCCCUGUUUCAUACAGAAAUACAUUCUUGUUACUGGGACAGGGUCAGCUGAACGUUGGUGGUCAUGAGGGCCUGCAGGGGGUUGGGUUGGAGGUUAUUUUUGGUUCUAAGUGGGACAUCUUAUCUUGCUGUAAGUUCAUGUAUUCCUUCAUCAGUGGCCUCAGUGUGCUGGGGAGAGCUUCUUCACUGUCAUGAAGCAGCAAAGCCUGAAAGCAGUAGAAAAGGGGCUCAUGGUAUGCCUUAAAUCCUGGGAGUGGUAAAGAAAACCAAUCCAAGGAUCGUCUUCAAUAGAUAAGGGUUUAUAUCCACAUAGCAGAAACUGAGAAUAAUGCAACAAGGAGCAAGUAAUCCUCAGUGAUGAUUACUUGCUACACAAAAAGCUUUCAAUGUAUGUCUCUCCUCUAACUCAGCCACUGUUUUCGGGAUGUUUUGUGACACCACAAAGCAGCUGUUCUUUACUCUUCUGACUAAGACAUUUAUA